rnacentral:rRNA from 1 species
AGCUCCAAUAGCGUAUAUUAAAGUUGUUGCAGUUAAAAAGCUCGUAGUUGGAUUUCUGGUGAAAGCGUUUGGACGGCCCAAUGGGUUUGUUCCGAUACGUCUUUUGCCAUUCUUGAAGGGAACUUGUCUGGCAUUUAGUUGUCGGGCUUGGGAUCUUCAUCGUUUACUGUGAAAAAAUUAGAGUGUUCAAAGCAGGCUUAUGCCGUUGAAUACAUUAGCAUGGAAUAAUAAGAUAGGACCUUGGUACUAUUUUGUUGGUUUGCGUACCUAGGUAAUGAUUAAUAGGGACAGUUGGGGGUAUUCGUAUUCAAUUGUCAGAGGUGAAAUUCUUGGAUUUAUGGAAGACGAACUACUGCGAAAGCAUUUACCAAGGAUGUUUUCAUUA